AGGACUUUUGGAUUCCUAAUCUGCUCUAACCUCUGCUGAAGGCAGUUUACAAUGUUAUAAGUUUAUUCCUUUAAUAUCUUAAACAAGGGUUAUCCUCGGCUUAAUAGGAAUCUUGGUGAACAAGUUUAAUGAUUCUAUUUGCACUGACUUUUUAGAUUUUUUUUUUAAAUUUGCAAAGGAAUUACACUAGGGCAUUUAAUUCCUUUUCAAAUGCCUAAACAUUGGUACAAGGGUUAUUUAUGUCUGCCAAAACUGGCUGGUUUGUGAAGACUCAACUUGGCAAACUGUUGUGGCAUAUAUGUUAUGUACACAUAGCGUGUUUGUGUUAGUGGCUGUUUUUGAAUUACUAUGGUGAUCAUGUGAAUAUAAUAACAGUGUUAAAUAAUUUACAUUACUGUUUUAUUAAUCAUGAAUUGGUGGACCAUCUUCAUGGAUUUUAUAAGGAUGUCUGUUCAAGGUGUAGGGGAAAGCUCUAACCUGCAUAUCAUAAAUACACUUACAGGCUAUGGAUGUGCUCAUGAAACUGAACUGCCCAGUUUUCAUUAAUUAUAUUGAAUGCAAGUGCGUCCUGCCUUCUGUAGCAUUUGGUGCUACUACAUGACAUUAUCUGCCAAAGUAAAGGGUCUGGGACUUCAGACACUCUGCAUUCAAAGAAAAUUCUGCUUUUAUGAGUAGUGGUGAUCUUCAAAAUAAUAACUUGCAAGCUGCUAAACAAAUGGGACCAUGAAGCACAUCUGAUCCGUUCAUUUUAUUGUUUAAAUAAUGUACCUGACAUUUCCAUGCCGGUUGUGUGUGUGUGUGUAUGUAUGUGUGUGUGUGUGUUACCUGAAUGCUGAACUUUAUGCUGUGUAUACUGGUGGAGAUCACACCAAAGACAGAGGAAUUACUUUGGCUGUGAGUAAAUGGCAUUUUUAAACUGGAACAAAAAUAAUUACACUACAUAUAUUAAAGUUUCAUUCUUAAGGACUGGCCAUAAUUGUCAGAUUGGCUGUGUGUUUUUUCAUUAAAUGCUUUGUGGCCUCCUUUAGCUUUUAGUACCCUCACAUAUGGAUUCUGUACCUGUGCGGAACACAGGAGACCUUCUAGAGUUCUAACAACGGACGUUGUGCUUGUGCCUCUUCGCUCAAGGAGAAGCUUUGAAGAAUUUUGCAUGCCUUAGAAUACAUGGCUUGGAUUUCUAUGGUUUCAGGUUAAAUUCUUAUCAUCUCCAGGAUCUCGGGUAGGACGUUGUUAAGACCUUCGUUCCAGAUUGUGGAGAGCCAUUUCCUCUUGACUUAUGAAAUAUUUCAGUAGAUGGUCCAAUGGAUAUUUCUUCUUUUUCUAUCUUUCUGUCCUGUAGCUAAUUAGUCGUGUCAAAGGGACAGUCAGCAGGCCUUACAGACCCAUCAAAUAAAGAAAGUUGAAUAUUCCAGACUUGAAAUUUUACUGAAUUCUAUAGACUUCUACCUGUUAGCACUUAGGAUGGUGCACUCUUCUGGUUGCAGCGGGGUUCUUCUCCAGGUAGACUGGCGGCUGUUUAUUUAGGAGCAUACAGUAAUCACUCAGACAAACUGUUUGCUACUAUGUAUCUCUUGCACAAAUUCUUCUUUCCUUCCCCCUUGCAAGUAUCUUCCUGGAUUUUAUAUUAAGAAAAGUCUCCAGAGGUUAUGAAGGGGGGGGGGGAUGUCUGCUCCAUCCCUUGAGCAGUGCAUAAUUCUUCUCUUCUGGAACAGAAAGGUACAUGAAUGUGAACUUGAUGGCAAGAGCUCUAGAAUAUUUUUGAAGUUGUUCUGCACAAGUACAGAAGCCCCUGUAUAUGGCCUCACAGAGGACCACUUGAAGAACAUCGGCUACAUGUAAUUGACACAUCUCUCUCUCUCUCUCUCACUGAAUUCUUUUCUUGAGCACCACUUUUCUGCCUUAAUUGUACAUUUCAUCUUGUUUGAUCUUAAAGAGUUAGGUGUGAUCUUGUUUGAUCUUAAAGAGUUAGGUGUGGUACUUGAAUAAUUCUUUAAAGGUUCUCCGUUCAGAUUUCCUACAGUUCGGGGCAAUUUUGCUUUCAGUCACUUUGAAUUCUUUGUAGCAUAUUUAUAGGGCUUAUAUGUAAUCUGUCAGUAUAAAGAGUGACUUUUCCAAAAUAAUAAUAAAUGAGGUGCUAGUUAGCAGUGUGCACGUUACAGAGAACUUUUUAACAAUUGGAAGAGUUCCAGGAACUGCUGUUUCUGCAUCUGAUAAGUUAUGUACAAGAUAGAGUUAGAUAUCUGGGAGUGACUUUUAUCUAUUCAGUGAAGCCCUUGGUACAAAAGGCCCAGUUUGCUAUCCAAUGGUGGAAGCACCAUCAGUUGCAACUUCUGGUGACCCUAUAACCAUGGUUUUCAAUCAACAGACCAACAGAGGUGGUUUGCUGUUGCCUACUUCUGCAUAGCAACUGUGGUCUUCCUUGUUGGUCUCCCAGCUGACCCUGCUUAGCUUCUGAGAUGUGGUGAGAUGAGCCAUCUAAGCCAGGGUCUCUCUAAACUAACUUGUGCAAUACAGUCCAUCAUGGUGUCACAGGUACAGGCCAGGUGCAAUAAGGUGCACAAGAGUUUGCUCUUUGUCUUCAGCAAGCCAACCCAACCAAUAUGAUGGAAGAAACACUUCUUGCUACCCCAGCUACAAUGAUGAAUUAAGCUUUACUGAAAUGAGACCUUUAAUGGCAUAUCUGUUAUCUGUUUAGACAUGCAGCAUAAAAAAACUAAAAUAUUAAACCGUUGAAUUAAGCUUUACUGGUUAUGUACAGAAAGCUGCUAAAAUUAAUAGUGCAGAUUUGUUUCUGGCUUCUAAUUAGAAUUCCAAUACCCCAGUGAGUCAGAGGGUUGUCAGAUCACUUGGAAAAAUGGAUCCCUCGAGACUCAUCUUACCCUACAUAAUCUCCUAAUGUUACGACAAGCCAAUGGGUUCGCAGAAGAGUGCGUGGCUGAGGGUGUGCAGUCAUGUUCAAAAAAGCCCUGCAGACAAAGGUGCCAGGCUCCUCUCCUGCCAGGCCUCCUGCCUUCCUCCCCAUUCCCCCUGCUACCACCAGCAGGUCAAACUGGCUGAUGGAGCAAAGCACCUUGGUGCCUGUUGCCCCACUUGCCUAGCAAGGCACUCUCACUGCACCCGCAUCCCUACCAGGUCAUCCUGGCCAACAGAGCAAGGGUCACCUUGGCCCCCACUACUCUGUUGGCCCAGCAAGGCUCUCCUGCCUCCCCAACAUUCCCACCAGACCAUCCUGGCUGGCAGAGCAGGACUGCCUUGGCUCCCGCUGCUCCGCUGGUCCGGCAAACCCCCUCACCCCAAGCAUCUGCAUUCCACUCCCCAACCCAAGCCUCACCUUUUCACCCUCCUCCACUCCAACCCUCCCCAUUCUAUUCUCCCCCACCCCAAGCCUCACCUUUCCACCCUUUCCCCACCCACACCUCACCUUUCCACUCUACCUCCACUCCAUGCCUCACCUUCCAAACCUUCCCCAAUCCUCAACUUUCCACCUUCCCCAAACCACAGUUUACUGAGCAUUCCCACCCCCAAGCCACAGACUCAGAACUUAGAACUGGGUAGGUGGGAAGCAUAGCUGGGAAGGGGGGGGGGACUGCUGCCUCAGCAAAGCCCAUUGCAGGGGAAAAUGCUUCCCCCUGCACCCUUUGCUAGGGCCCACUGCAUCUUCCCCUGCAAUGGACUUUGCUGUUAGUAAUGUCAUAAUAGAGUUAUCAAGAUAUAAAUUACAAAAUUAUAACAUUACUCAGUCCAGUCUUAGACACAGUUUCUUUUUUUCCUGAAUCUGUUUUAGGGUGACUGUUCCAAAUUCUAGUAGGUAGCAGUUCAAACCUUUAUUAGACAUAAACCCGAAAAAAAGUAAAAGUAAAAAAACAAUCCCAGAGCGUUAAAAAUCAAUUCUAGUAGGGAAUUGUACCGAAUUGUACCAUUAAUUGUACCGAACCAAAAUAAAUAAUUGUUGUGUUAUUUGGCUAAAAAUGUACAACUCCUGAGGACAGCAUCUUGGAACGCGGCUGAUCAAUGUUCAGAGUGCCGAAUUGGACAUGAAAAGCAACUUGUACUGUUUGCUUGAAAUACUUUUGCGUGUAUUUUAGAUGACUUUAUACUUUGUCUCUCUAAAAUUUGCAUUGUGUUUCUUGCUACUGCAUAUGCCAUAAAAUUUUGAACCUAAAUAUUUUUUUCUGUCUGGCUUCUAUAUAUAUAAAAUGAAGCAACCGGUUUUGAAACUCUAGACAGAAAUUGGCACUUUUCUGUUUUUUGUCUUGCUGUUGUAUACAGCUAUUGAUAACCUUGUGAAUUCUUGGAGAAAUUGUCAGUAGGUGGACUGUAAUUUUGCUAUUGUUAUUCUAGACACUGGUAAUAGUUUCAACUAAUCAAACUGUAAUGCAAUAGUAGGCACAACUUACACUGUGUGUUCUCCUAAGUGUACCAUAAUUAACAUUGUAACUUUACAAUUGCUAGACCCUACAGGAGCACAUAAAGCCAGAGCCUGUAAUUUGAAAAGGUUUAACAGAUCUUGAGGCUUCAAAUGCCUAUCUCUGGUCCUCUUCUGGGAGAGAAAACCAUAUAAUCUGUAUGUAGACCUUCAGCAAGUCUCAAGUAUGCAAAUACUGUUGUACACAGAACAAAAUGUAUUAAUUAAAAUUACUUAUUAUAUGAGCACAUAUUUGCAUGAGGAUACACAGUAAAAUUAGUCACUGAACUGCUGAAUGUGGAUUUCAUACAUAAGGUGAAGUAAACUGUUAUGUGAGAUAUAACCCUGCCACCUGCCACCCCCACCCCCCAAUUAGGUAGCAAUUUUUUCACAGCCUUUGCAGAAAGCUGUUUCUAAGCAGAUGGACAAAGAGGAACUAUACCCCUGGUGUUGAAAUGAUGAACCUUUGCCCUUGCAUGAAACUUACUAGUUAAGAUAGCAUGUACUCCUAUCCACAGUCGAUCAGUCAUGUGUAACUAUUCUUGACAAUGGCUGGAUUUGCUACUCGGUACUGGUAGCCAAUGAGAUUGCCAGAAUGGCAAAAUAAAAAGAUUGGAUCUAUUUCCCGAGGGAUAGUUAUUCGUUCUGCUUUCGUCCUAUCUCCCUACUCAAAGUGAAGACAACACACAGUAAUUUGUGAGGGACAGCCAUGUAAGUAUAUUGCCGCAAGAGUAAAGUGGAAUCUUGUGGUACCUUAGAGACCUACAGAAUUCAAUAGCAGGGUAAGUGUCCCUCCAUUUCAGCUUCAACAAGAAGAUCCUCACUAUGCAACCUUUCAUUUAAGUUUUAAAAAAUAAACACUGAGGGUAAGGGGCCAUAAAAUGCAAUAAGUACAGGGUAAAAUGCAUACAUGUUUCAUCCAGAAAAAUACAAAGCAUUAGUUAAUCCUAGUUUGCAAACACCUUUAAUGAGUGUCACUGGUUUUGAUAAGAAAAAAGGGUCUAUGUUUUUUUAAAAAAAAUAAUAACAUUAAGAAGUCCAUUUUCAGGCAGAAAGGGGGAAUAUUAUGCAAACUUAAUGAAUAUAAUUCAGCAUUUUUAUCCUGGUUUUCAUAUGAAGGUUGUUUGAGUUUUGUUUCUGUUUUCAGGUCAGCAACACAAUGUCUUUUGGAGACUGAAAUGUUCUCGCACUGUUUUCUGAAUAUUGUGAUUAAAGUCAUAUUUGUUCCAUC